rnacentral:lncRNA from 1 species
CUUCACUCCUCUGUGGAGAGAGACACAGGGAUUCCUGACCAAGCUGCCAUGGAUCCUUCCCUCCUCCAGGUCUGCUAACUCCAGGCCCUCCCUGUCCAGCCACGUUGUCUGGAGGCCACCUGGCAGUCUCAUCUGGGUUGGGAGGCGUGGGGUCUCAGAGCGGGAGGAGAGAACCUCGUGGUGGGGGGAGCUAGCAGUGAGGGAGUGGGCUGUGGGGAGUCUGGGUCCCACCCCCGGGACUCUGUCAGUGGCAGGGUAGGGGUACCCAGAGCCAUGGCAGGAACCACCCCCUGCCCGCCCCCGACUAGAGGCUCAGCUUCCCUGCGUGCACCUAGCUCAGGAAGCCUUCCUUUCUAGUCUCUACAGCUGUUUCCCUCUUUUCCCAUCUCAUUCUUCCCUCUUCAUUUCUGGCCUAUCUUUUAACAUCUCCAUCCCUUUGAUGCCUCAUCCAUCUCCUCUUCACCGUCUUGUCUUUGCCUGUUCCCUUUUCUGCUUCUCUGCUCCUCUUAAGGCUGGGUUUUCCUCCUGCGUCUCCUCUGUGCGCCUGUGAGUGUCCCCUGUCUGCUCAUCCUCUCUCCCUCUGUCCACCUGUUUCUCUUUCUUCCAGCGUUUCUCCAUCUCACGCGCUGCCUCUGUCAUUUUCUCUCUUUCUUCGUCUUUCUCUCUCUCUCAUUGUUCUGAGACAUAGCAGUGCCUGGCCCAGCGGGGACAACAUGUUUCACAGACAAAUCAUCCAACAAAAGAGAGGAGGAACGUGCUUCAGUAACUCUGGACUUGGCCAUGUGACUUUCUUGGGCCAAUGGGACAUGAGCAAGCAUGAUACCAGCAGGGAUUUGAUUCUUCCUCCACCUCAGCUGAAAGGAUUCAUCUUGCAGCACGGCCCACCUUGGAACCCUUUGUGUUUGCUGAAACUUUCUUUGUGAUUAUUCUUAUGUCACUGCAUAGCAUGUAAAUGUAUCACACCCCCCCCCCACCCAUUAUUAUUAUCUCCUAGUAUGCACCAGGCACUGGCCAUAAAUUAUUUCUAAUCAUCAUUAAAACUCUACCACGGUUAUCCUCCCUCUAUGGAUAGGAAAACUAAGGCUUGGAGGUUGAAGAGGUCAUGGAUCUUGUCCAAGGUCACUAAACUCAUAAAUGUCACAGUCAAAAUUUGAAUCUAGAUAGAGUUGUCAGCUCCAAAGAAGUUUGCUCAGUCAGUUCUUCCCCAAAUUAGCUUUUUAUCCAAAUUUGCUGAGAAGCUUUUUAAAAAUACAUCUUCUUUACAACAAAGCCAGAGAAAGAAUAAGGCAGCUCUCUGCACAACAAUAUGGUGCUCGUAUAUGCCUAGAACAUCUCCAGGAAGAAGGGCCGGUACAGGACCAGGUCAGCCUGUCCUCAUUACAUCAGCAGGGUGAGCCAAGGGAGGUUGCCUAAAAAUUCAAGAUUUGAUUUGCCGCUCAGGCAUUUCCUUGAGUGGCCCCUCGGUGUUUGCCCUCAUCCAGAUGGCAUCCAGAUGCAAACAUCCCCCCUCCCCCAGCUCCGGCUCCUCAGCUAGGGGAAUUGAAUCUUGACCCCCACCUCACACCCACCUCCCUGCAUCAUCAGCUUUGUUUCUGGGAUCUGAGGUCAGGGCAUGGACUAACACCUCUGCCUGUGGCUCUCUCCAAAGCCCGACUUCUGGCCAUCCUAUGAUCUGCCUCCCUCCUCCGCCUUUGUUCAAUUCAGCAGGAUCCCACACGGAGAUCUGCCCCAGUGCACCCUUGGGAUGUAGUGACAGAAACUCCUGCUUACUUAAAAAAGGGUCCUCUGCAAACUGUGCCGAAGAACAAGGGCCAAAAUAAAACAAAGAGGGGAUUUCGUUGUUCUUCUCCUUACC